UUAACUAAAAUUUGUAUGGAGUUGGAACGUUUGCAUUCGUUUGCCGAUGGGGGCGCUGUACCGACUGCAUACAAAUUUGAAUUA
rnacentral:pre_miRNA from 1 species